rnacentral:rRNA from 1 species
GACGAACGCUGGCGGCGUGCUUAACACAUGCAAGUCGAACGGAAAGGCCCUGCUUGCAGGGUACUCGAGUGGCGAACGGGUGAGUAACACGUGGGUGAUCUGCCCUGCACUUCGGGAUAAGCCUGGGAAACUGGGUCUAAUACCGGAUAGGAGCCAUUUUUAGUGUGAUGGUUGGAAAGUUUUUUCGGUGUAGGAUGAGCUCGCGGCCUAUCAGCUUGUUGGUGGGGUAAUGGCCUACCAAGGCGGCGACGGGUAGCCGGCCUGGGAGGGUGGACGGCCACAUUGGGACUGAGAUGCGGCCCAGACUCCGACGGGAGGCAGCAGUGGGGAAUAUUGAACAAUGGGCGCAAGCCGGAUGCAGCGACGCCGCGUGGGGGAUGACGGCCUUCGGGUUGAAAACUCCUUUCGCUAGGGACGAAGCUUUUUGUGACGGUACCUAGAUAAGAAGCACCGGCUAACUACGUG